rnacentral:rRNA from 1 species
AAAUUGAAGAGUUUGAUCAUGGCUCAGAUUGAACGCUGGCGGCAGGCCUAACACAUGCAAGUCGAACGGUAGCACAGAGAGCUUGCUCUCGGGUGACGAGUGGCGGACGGGUGAGUAAUGUCUGGGAAACUGCCUGAUGGAGGGGGAUAACUACUGGAAACGGUAGCUAAUACCGCAUAACGUCGCAAGACCAAAGAGGGGGACCUUCGGGCCUCUUGCCAUCAGAUGUGCCCAGAUGGGAUUAGCUAGUAGGUGGGGUAAUGGCUCACCUAGGCGACGAUCCCUAGCUGGUCUGAGAGGAUGACCAGCCACACUGGAACUGAGACACGGUCCAGACUCCUACGGGAGGCAGCAGUGGGGAAUAUUGCACAAUGGGCGCAAGCCUGAUGCAGCCAUGCCGCGUGUAUGAAGAAGGCCUUCGGGUUGUAAAGUACUUUCAGCGGGGAGGAAGGUGUUGUGGUUAAUAACCGCAGCAAUUGACGUUACCCGCAGAAGAAGCACCGGCUAACUCCGUGCCAGCAGCCGCGGUAAUACGGAGGGUGCAAGCGUUAAUCGGAAUUACUGGGCGUAAAGCGCACGCAGGCGGUCUGUCAAGUCGGAUGUGAAAUCCCCGGGCUCAACCUGGGAACUGCAUUCGAAACUGGCAGGCUAGAGUCUUGUAGAGGGGGGUAGAAUUCCAGGUGUAGCGGUGAAAUGCGUAGAGAUCUGGAGGAAUACCGGUGGCGAAGGCGGCCCCCUGGACAAAGACUGACGCUCAGGUGCGAAAGCGUGGGGAGCAAACAGGAUUAGAUACCCUGGUAGUCCACGCCGUAAACGAUGUCGACUUGGAGGUUGUGCCCUUGAGGCGUGGCUUCCGGAGCUAACGCGUUAAGUCGACCGCCUGGGGAGUACGGCCGCAAGGUUAAAACUCAAAUGAAUUGACGGGGGCCCGCACAAGCGGUGGAGCAUGUGGUUUAAUUCGAUGCAACGCGAAGAACCUUACCUACUCUUGACAUCCAGAGAACUUAGCAGAGAUGCUUUGGUGCCUUCGGGAACUCUGAGACAGGUGCUGCAUGGCUGUCGUCAGCUCGUGUUGUGAAAUGUUGGGUUAAGUCCCGCAACGAGCGCAACCCUUAUCCUUUGUUGCCAGCGGUCCGGCCGGGAACUCAAAGGAGACUGCCAGUGAUAAACUGGAGGAAGGUGGGGAUGACGUCAAGUCAUCAUGGCCCUUACGAGUAGGGCUACACACGUGCUACAAUGGCGCAUACAAAGAGAAGCGACCUCGCGAGAGCAAGCGGACCUCAUAAAGUGCGUCGUAGUCCGGAUUGGAGUCUGCAACUCGACUCCAUGAAGUCGGAAUCGCUAGUAAUCGUAGAUCAGAAUGCUACGGUGAAUACGUUCCCGGGCCUUGUACACACCGCCCGUCACACCAUGGGAGUGGGUUGCAAAAGAAGUAGGUAGCUUAACCUUCGGGAGGGCGCUUACCACUUUGUGAUUCAUGACUGGGGUGAAGUCGUAACAAGGUAACCGUAGGGGAACCUGCGGUUGGAUCACCUCCUUACCUUAAAGAA